UACGUAGGGUGCGAGCGUUUGUCCGGAAUUAUUGGGCGUAAAGAGCUCGUAGGCGGUCUGUCGCGUCGGUCGUGAAAACUUGGGGGCUUAACCCUGAGCUUGCGGUCGAUACGGGCAUGACUGGAGUUCGGUAGGGGAGACUGGAAUUCCUGGUGUAGCGGUGAAAUGCGCAGAUAUCAGGAGGAACACCGGUGGCGAAGGCGGGGUCUCUGGGCCGAUACUGACGCUGAGGAGCGAAAGCGUGGGGAGCGAACAGG
rnacentral:rRNA from 1 species